AAAAAGCGCCGAAAAUCAGUGAUAAAAACCCAAACUGUGGCACAAAACCACACAAAUUUGGGGUGAAAAUGGCGGCACCCAAAAAUCUGGGGGGUUCUGAUGCUCUGAAUCCCUUGGAGGUUCCUAAAAAACUCCCACCCCAAAUUUGGCCUAAAAACUCCAAAAUAAUUCUAAGAUCCAACAGGAAAUGCCCAAAUUUGGGUGAAAAACCCCAAAACAUGAUGGAAAAACCCCAAAUGUAGGUGGGAAACCCAAAAUCUGAUGGGAAACCCCAAAAAUAGGGCACAAAACCCUGAAAAAACCCAAAGCCUGACAGGAAAUGCCCAAGUUUUGGUGGGAAACCUCAAAAUCUGUUGGGAAACUGCAAAAUUUGGGCACAAACCCAAAAACAACCUAAAAUCUGAGAGAAAACUUUCUAAUUUUGGCAUCAACCCUAAAAAAACUCAACAACUUGACAGGAAACACCUAAAUAGAGGUGAGAAACCCCAAAUUUGGACACAAAGCCCCGAAACAACCAAAAAAUCUAAUGAGAAAUACCCAAAUUUCGGCAAAACUCCAAAAAAAACUGGCUGGAAACUCCCAAAUUCUGUCGCUAACCCCAAAACGUAACAGAAAAAUCCCAAUAUUUUUCUGUUUUUCCCCAAAACCUGUUGGUAAAUUUGAGCACAGGGGAACUCAAACUCCCCAAAAAUCCCAUCAUGCCCUGAAACUCCCAAAACUGGGUUUUUUUCCCCAAAAUCCCCUCACCUCCACCAGUUUCUUGCUGUUUUUCUUGGGAGGGUUGGGCGCCCGUUGGGCCCCGUUGGGCCCCAGCCGAUGCUUCUGGAAGGUCAAUUUGAGCCCUUCCUCCUGUGGGGAAAGCGUGAGGGGAAAGGGUCACAAAAUGGAGGAAAAGGCGGGAAAAUCGUGAGGAAAAAGGUGGGAAAACUGUGAGGGAAAAGGAAAGAAAAUUGUGAGGGAAAAGGCGGGAAAAUUGUGAGGAGAUGGGGUCAGAAAAUGGAGGAAAAGGUGGAAAAUUGUGAGGGAAAAGGU
rnacentral:lncRNA from 1 species